CAACCUGGUGAUCCUGCCAGUAGUCAUAUGCUGGUCYCGAAGAUUAAGCCAUGCAUGUCUCAGUGUAAGCUUCACUCUUGCAAUACUGUGCAUGGCUCAUUAAAACAGCUAUGACUUAAUUGAAGGUCAAGCUACAUGGAUAACUGUGACAAUUCUAUAGCUAACACAUGCUCCAAUACCUGACUUGAGGGUGGUGGUCAUCAACCUCAGAAUCAAUGCAGGCUCUGCUUGGUGAAUAGAAGAGUCAUGAUGAUUGAAUGAAUUGCACUGCACCAGCUGGUGAUAACUCAUUGAAGUUUCUGACCCAUCAGCUUCCGACGAUAGGGUAAUGACCUACCGUGGCAAUGACAGGUGACGGAAGAUUAGGGUUUGAUUCUGGAGAGGCAGCCUGAGAAACGGCCACCACAUCUAAGGAAGGCAGCAGGCGCGCAAAUUGCCCAGUCCUGACACAGGGAGGCAGUGACAAGAAAUAACAAUACAAGGCAUCCAUGUCUUGUAAUUGGAAUGAGUGACUUGUAAACUUCUUUUUGAGUAUCGAUUGGAGGGCAAGUCUGGUGCCAGCAGCCGCGGUAAUUCCAGCUCCAAUGGUGUAUAUUAAAGUUGUUGCGGUUAAAAAGCUCAUAGUUGGAUUUCUGCUGAGGGUGGCUGGUCCGCCCUUUGGGUGAGUACCUGGCACAGCCUGAGCAUAUUUCUGGAGGGUGCAACUGCACUUGGCUGUGUGGUGCAGCGUCGAGAACUUUUACUUUGAAGAAAUCAAAGUGUUUCAUGCAAGUGUCUGCCUUGAAUACGGUAGCAUGGAAUAAUGGUUUUGGGCCUUGGUCCUGUUUUGUUGGUUCCUAGAGCUGAGGUGGUGAUAAAUAGGGAUGAUUGGGGGUAUUUGUAUUUAACUGUCAGAGGUGAAAUUCUUGAAUUUCUUAAGGAUAGACUACUGCAAAAGCAUUUGCCAAGGAUGUAUUUUUUGAUCAAGAACGAAAGUUAGGGGAUCGAAGACGAUUAGAUACCGUCCUAGUCUUAACCAUAAACCAUGCCAUCUAGAGAUUGGAGGUUGUUACUCGGAUGACUCCUUCGGCACCUUGUGAGAAAUUGAAGCCUUUGGGUUCCGGGGGGAGUAUGAUCGCAAGGCUGAAACUUAAAGGAAUUGACGGAAGGGCACCACCAGGAGUGGAGCCUGCGGCUUAAUUUGACUCAACACGGGGAACCUUACCAGGUCCAGACACAAUUGGGAUUGACAGAUUGACAGCUCUUUCUUGAUUCUGUGGGUGGUGGUGCAUGGCCGUUCUUAGUUGGUGGAGUGAUUUGUCUGGUUAAUUCCGUUAACGAACGAGACCUUAACUGGCUAAAUAGUUACAUGUAUUUUUGGUUAUGUGGGCAACUUCUUAGAGGGACUUUGUGUGUACAGCACAAGGAAGUGUGAGGCAAUAACAGGUCUGUAAUGCCCUUAGAUGUUCUGGACUGCACGCGUGCUACACUGGUGCACCCAACAAGUAUUCCAUCUUGCCUGGAAUGGCUGGGUAAUCUUCUAAACCUGCAUCGUGAUGGGGAUGGACAAUUGCAAUUAUUAACCCUGAACGAGGAAUUCCUAGUAAGUGUGAGUCAUCACCUUGCGUUGAUUAUGUCCCUGCCCUUUGUACACACCGCCCGUCGCUCCUACCGAUUGAGUGGUCCGGUGAAUAAUUUGGACUGUAGUGGCACUCAGUUCUUGGAUAACACCAUGGGAAGUCUCAUGAACCUUAUCACUUAGAGGAAGGAGAAGUCGUAACAAGGUUUCCGUANGUG
rnacentral:rRNA from 1 species